UGGACGGCACUCCAGUACAAGCAUGUGCAUGGUUGGCCUGUUGACAUUUUUAGAAACGCAUCUUGGUCUAUUAUACAGAGUAUUGUUGUACUGCUCCAAAGUGCUUGUUGACAGACUGAAACCACUUGCUUGCGGCUCAUAAGGUUCACUUCUUGAGAGCAGGCAGCUACAAAAUGGAAGGUCAACAAAUCCAGUAUACUUGAAAAGCAAGAAAGAAACACCAGAAAAUAUAAAAAGACAGAAGAACAAGGGAACUUAAAAAAAAAAAAAACUUUUAAGGAUAGGAAAUCAGGAUUUA